rnacentral:rRNA from 1 species
CCAACUACGGGCCAGCGGCGGGGGGAAGACGGAGGGGGCGGGCGGUGGCCGGAGGUGUGGGGCGGAAAGCGCGGGGAGGCGUUGGGGGAAGCCGGGGGGGAAGCCCUGGAGUGCAACUCGGGGCGGCCACUCGGAACGGUCAUGACGCGAGUCAGGUAGGGGAACACGGAAGUCCAGGUGUAGCGGUGAAAUGCUUAGAGAUCUGGAGGAACACCAGGGGCGAAGGCGGUGGGCUGGGCCUGUACUGACGCUGAUGCGCGAAAGCGUGGGGAGCGAACAGGAUUAGAUACCCGGGUAGUC